UACGUAGGGGGCGAGCGUUGUCCGGAUUUAUUGGGCGUAAAGAGCGUGUAGGCGGCCAGGUAGGUCUGCUGUGAAAACUCGAGGCUCAACCUCGAGACGUCGGCGGAAACCAUCUGGCUAGAGUCAGGAAGAGGAGAGUGGAAUUCCUGGUGUAGCGGUGAAAUGCGCAGAUAUCAGGAGGAACACCGAUGGCGAAGGCAGGUCUCUGGGCAUUAACUGACGCUGAGGAGCGAAAGCAUGGGGAGCGAACAGG
rnacentral:rRNA from 1 species